rnacentral:lncRNA from 1 species
UAGGAACGAUACGGUUUAUAACGAACACUAAAUGUCGUUUCUUCUCGUUACAGAAACACAAUUUUGUUCUUAACUGUACUCGACCUACACCAUAAAUAGUCUUAUA